rnacentral:misc_RNA from 1 species
GAUGAAGAACGUAGCGAAAUGCGAUAAGUAAUGUGAAUUGCAGAAUUCAGUGAAUCAUCGAAUCUUUGAACGCACAUUGCGCCCGCCAGUAUUCUGGCGGGCAUGCCUGUUCGAGCGUCAUUUCAACCAUCAAGCCCCCGGGCUUGUGUUGGGGACCUGCGGCUGCCGCAGGCCCUGAAAAGCAGUGGCGGGCUCGCUGUCACACCGAGCGUAGUAGAUUUUAUCUCGCUCUGGGCGUGCUGCGGGUUCCGGCCGUUAAACCACCCUUUUAACCCAAGGUUGACCUCGGAUCAGGUAGGAAGACCCGCUGAACUUAAGCAUAUCAAAAGCGGAGGA